UUCUGUUUAAUCAUUUAAGAAUAGCCUACAUCAAAUAAUCACUACACAUUUUUUCUUGAAGUGUUCGAGAAUUAUCCCAGAAAGAUAAUACAGACAGAACACGUUUCUUCAAUGAAAGAGAGCUAUGCUUUAUUCUUUCUAUAUCACUGAUGGGUCUCUCAGGAUAGAAGUGAUUUGCCAUUGCCUUUUUCCUGGGGUUGAAAGAAAGUUACUGGCCCAAAGUUUUGCAGCCUGCGUGGCUCUAGAACAGGGUGUCUAACCUUGGCAACUUUAAGACUUGUGGACUUCAACUCCCAGAAUGCCCUGUCAGCAUGCUCUAGAAAAUGUAUUCUUGAAUAUUGUCAACAAUCUGCCAAGAAAUGAUUGUGUGAUUUUUCUGCUGGACUAGAGGAAAUAAUAGGAUAUUGUUGGUGGGUGGUUGAAUAGAUCUAAUUCAUUCCCUUCCUAAUCAAAGAAAAAUAUGUCAACAUGCCUCUCUCAAAAUGUUGCACACUGCAGGGAUGUCACCAAGUUACAGAUCUCUCAUUUGUGGCCCUUAGCAACCUCCCUAAAAUACAUCAAAAUAAUCCAUUGAUUUGAGAGAAUCAAAAGGAGAGAUAUUACAUAUUUGGGUCUAUUUUGAGAUAUGCAAAUGCGAUAUUCUUUUCAGCAAUACAGUGAUUUGAAUAUGAAUAUGGGAGGUUGCAUUGUAUAAAACAAAUGAGAACAUUUCGAUAACUAACUCUGGAAACGUUUCAUAGACUCUAUUAUUUCAUUGCCAGUGCAGCGUUCUUAACCUUGUAUUGAUUGAGGUCACAUAUCUCCACAUUUUAGGAGGGCUGGAGAUUUGUAUAAAAGCUGUUCCUUUAGGAAUUCAAGUAUUUUAAUGGAUUCCAUGAGUGUAAUAUCAUGGAUGAAUAGAUUUGAUUAAAAUGAAUA